rnacentral:rRNA from 1 species
GUGGGGAAUAUUGGACAAUGGGGGGAACCCUGAUCCAGCCAUGCCGCGUGUGUGAAGAAGGCCUUUUGGUUGUAAAGCACUUUAAGCGAGGAGGAGGCUACCGAGAUUAAUACUCUUGGAUAGUGGACGUUACUCGCAGAAUAAGCACCGGCUAACUCUGUGCCAGCAGCCGCGGUAAUACAGAGGGUGCAAGCGUUAAUCGGAUUUACUGGGCGUAAAGCGCGCGUAGGUGGCCAAUUAAGUCAAAUGUGAAAUCCCCGAGCUUAACUUGUGAAUUGCAUUCGAUACUGGUUGGCUAGAGUAUGGGAGAGGAUGGUAGAAUUCCAGGUGUAGCGGUGAAAUGCGUAGAGAUCUGGAGGAAUACCGAUGGCGAAGGCAGCCAUCUGGCCUAAUACUGACACUGAGGUGCGAAAGCAUGGGGAGCAAACAGGAUUAGAAACCCUGGUAGUCC